AACGAACGCUGGCGGCGUGUUUAAGACAUGCAAGUCGCACGGUGUCAUUUUGGUAGCAAUACUUGGAUGGCACAGUGGCGCACGGGUGAGUAACACGUGAAUGACAUGCCCUUCAGAGGGGGAUAGCCCAGGGAAACUCGGAUUAAUACCGCAUGUGACAACGGGGCGGCUUCGCCCUGUUUUCAAAGGUGGGGACCGCAAGGCCUGCCGCUUCCAGAUUGGCCCGCGUCCUAUCAGCUAGUUGGCGGGGUAACGGCCCACCAAGGCGACGACGGGUAGCUGGUCUGAGAGGACGACCAGCCACACUGGAACUGAGACACGGUCCAGACACCUACGGGUGGCAGCAGUCGAGAAUCUUUCACAAUGGGGGAAACCCUGAUGGAGCGACGCCGCGUGGAGGAUGACGGUCUUCGGAUUGUAAACUCCUGUCAUGAAAGAACAAGCGAUGCGGGUGAACAGCCCGCAAAGUUGAUAGUAUUUCAAGAGGAAGGGACGGCUAACUUCGUGCCAGCCGCCGCGGUAACAC
rnacentral:rRNA from 1 species